GACCCUCAAAAUUUAAAAAGGGCUAUGGCUGUGGGUGACAUUUGUUGUCCAGUUUUCAGCUCACUGUCCACUGCCUGGUGUGGAUGGGUGAAACCCAGGGCCUCUCAGUU